rnacentral:rRNA from 1 species
GAUGAACGCUGGCGGCGUGCCUAAUACAUGCAAGUCGAGCGAACAGACGAGGAGCUUGCUCCUCUGACGUUAGCGGCGGACGGGUGAGUAACACGUGGACAACCUACCUAUAAGACUGGGAUAACUUCGGGAAACCGGAGCUAAUACCGGAUAAUAUAUUGAACCGCAUGGUUCAAUAGUGAAAGACGGUUUUGCUGUCACUUAUAGAUGGAUCCGCGUCGCAUUAGCUAGUUGGUAAGGUAACGGCUUACCAAGGCAACGAUGCGUAGCAGACCUGAGAGGGUAGUCGGCCACAGUGGAACUGAGACACGGUCCAGACUCCUACGGGAGGCAGCAGUAGGGAAUCUUCCGCAAUGGGCGAAAGCCUGACGGAGCAACGCCGCGUGAGUGAUGAAGGUCUUCGGAGCGUAAAACUCUGUUAUUAGGGAAGAACAAAUGUGUAAGUAACUGUGCACGUCUUGACGGUACCUAAUCAGAAAGCCACGGCUAACUACGUG